rnacentral:rRNA from 1 species
UGGGGAAUAUUGGACAAUGGGCGAAAGCCUGAUCCAGCCAUGCCGCGUGUGUGAAGAAGGUCUUCGGAUUGUAAAGCACUUUAAGUUGGGAGGAAGGGCAGUAAGCGAAUACCUUGCUGUUUUGACGUUACCGACAGAAUAAGCACCGGCUAACUCUGUGCCAGCAGCCGCGGUAAUACAGAGGGUGCAAGCGUUAAUCGGAAUUACUGGGCGUAAAGCGCGCGUAGGUGGUUCGUUAAGUUGAAUGUGAAAGCCCCGGGCUCAACCUGGGAACUGCAUGCAAAACUGGCGAGCUAGAGUAGGGCAGAGGGUGGUGGAAUUUCCUGUGUAGCGGUGAAAUGCGUAGAUAUAGGAAGGAACACCAGUGGCGAAGGCGACCACCUGGGCUCAUACUGACACUGAGGUGCGAAAGCGUGGGGAGCAAACAGG